UACGAAGGGGCUAGCGUUGCUCGGAAUCACUGGGCGUAAAGCGCACGUAGGCGGGUUGCUAAGUCAGGGUGAAAUCCUGGAGCUCAACUCCAGAACUGCCCUUGAUACUGGCGGCCUUGAGUCCGGAGAGGUGAGUGGAACUGCGAGUGUAGAGGUGAAAUUCGUAGAUAUUCGCAAGAACACCAGUGGCGAAGGCGGCUCACUGGCCCGGUACUGACGCUGAGGUGCGAAAGCG
rnacentral:rRNA from 1 species